CCGAUGGCGACCGGCGCACGGGUGAGUAACACGUAUCCAACCUGCCGAUAACUCGGGGAUAGCCUUUCGAAAGAAAGAUUAAUACCCGAUGGUAUAAUCAGACCGCAUGGUCUUGUUAUUAAAGAAUUUCGGUUAUCGAUGGGGAUGCGUUCCAUUAGGCAGUUGGUGAGGUAACGGCUCACCAAACCUUCGAUGGAUAGGGGUUCUGAGAGGAAGGUCCCCCACAUUGGAACUGAGACACGGUCCAA
rnacentral:rRNA from 1 species